GACCUCAAAUCGGGUAAGAAUACCCGCUGAACUUAAGCAUAUCAAUAAGCGGAGGA
rnacentral:rRNA from 1 species